UACGUAGGGUGCAAGCGUUUGUCCGGAAUUAUUGGGCGUAAAGAGCUCGUAGGCGGUUCGUCGCGUCGGCUGUGAAAUCCCGAGGCUCAACCUCGGGUCUGCAGUCGAUACGGGCGGACUGGAGUUCGGCAGGGGAGACUGGAAUUCCUGGUGUAGCGGUGAAAUGCGCAGAUAUCAGGAGGAACACCGGUGGCGAAGGCGGGUCUCUGGGCCGAUGACUGACGCUGGAGGAGCGAAAGCGUGGGGAGCGAACAGG
rnacentral:rRNA from 1 species